AUCAACAGUGAUGGCGGAUGGGCGACCAGCGCAGCGGUGUCUGGAGCUGAGGUUGGACCCAUUAGUUGGGGCUGCUAAUCAGUUCACCAUGCAGGCCAUGGGCCAAGCCACUGAAGGGAUCCACCUGGACUAGGAGUGACUGGGCUGGCCACAGAGCUCUGCCCUACCCGCUCACCGCUGGACAUGAAACAGCAAGUGCCUAUCCUGGAGGGCUCCGCCUGGGGAGUGCCAGGGAGAAGAAGACAGAGGUCCCAGGAGUCCCAGGGGCCCCCAUUACUGGCCACCUCCGCUCAACCCAAACUGCACUAUGUGAGGUCCCGCCAGACUACAUACAGGCCAACGAGAGCCCAAGAAUGCAGCCAGGAAACCAGGCCAGGCAGACUCCAAAAGCCCGUGCUACGGGGUCAGUAGGACCCGCCUACAGCUGAGGGCUAUAGGCAGCUCUCCAGAGGACCUCCCAGGAGAAGCCAACAGUGCACAUGGGCUAGGUUCCUCCUGCUGUUCACCCUCUGUGCCCAGUAACUACCCAGGAACAGGCAUGACUGAUUCUGCCAACUCAUUCACUGGGUAACCGCUGACCCCACCAGGCCCUCGGAGUAAAGCAGUUAGUGAGAACCGCAGGUAAAAGCGCGGGCUACUCAUCCCUCCGCCUGUGGAUUCUAUUAUCAACAAAGAUGCAUCACCUGCUAGAAGAGCGGUUCUCAAACUUGGCUGCACAUCAGGUUCACUUCAAAAGCUUCAGGAAAAGCUAGUGCCUUGGGCCCACCCCAGAGACAGGUAUAGCUCAAGGUGAGAACCAGAGCACCAGCAGGCAGGCCUCUGCCAGGCAGCAUGGGCAACGUGUGCUGGGUGAAUGUGCGGCCUGCACUCAUCACCCAGAAGAGCCCCACUGUGUCCACACAAGGACAGGCCACCGAAGUCCCAG
rnacentral:lncRNA from 1 species